rnacentral:rRNA from 1 species
AACGAACGCUGGCGGCAUGCCUAACACAUGCAAGUCGAACGAGACCUUCGGGUCUAGUUGCGCACGGGUGCGUAACGCGUGGGAACCUGCCCUUAGGUUCGGAAUAACUCCCCGAAAGGGGUGCUAAUACCGGUUAAUGUCUUCGGACCAAAGAUUUAUCGCCUUUGGAUGGGCCCGCGUUGGUUUAGCUAGUUGGUAGGGUAAAAGCCUACCAAGGCGACGAUCCAUAGCUGGUCUGAGAGGAUGAUCAGCCACACUGGGACUGAGACACGGCCCAGACUCCUACGGGAGGCAGCAGUGGGGAAUAUUGGACAAUGGGCGAAAGCCUGAUCCAGCAAUGCCGCGUGAGUGAUGAAGGCCUUAGGGUUGUAAAGCUCUUUUACCCGGGAUGAUAAUGACAGUACCGGGAGAAUAAGCUCCGGCUAACUCCGUG